rnacentral:ncRNA from 1 species
NNNNNNNNNNNACUAACCAGGAUUUCCCUAGUAACGGCGAGCGAACCGGAAAGAGCCCAGCUUGAAAAUCGAGGUGCUUCGCACCUCGAAUUGUAGUCUGGAGAAGCGUCCUCUGCAGCGUGCCGGCCCCAAGUUCCCUGGAAUGGGAUGCCCAAGAGGGUGACAGCCCCGUCGAGGCCGGUUUUUUAUUGCUGCUCCACGAGGCGCGAUCUGCGAGUCGGGCUGUUUGGGAAUGCAGCCCUAAGUGGGAGGUAAAUUCCUUCUAAGGCUAAAUAUUGGCAAGAGACCGAUAGCGAACAAGUACCGCGAGGGAAAGAUGAAAAGGACUUUGAAAAGAGAGUUAAACAGUGCUUGAAAUUGCUGGGAGGGAAGCGAAUGGAAGCUGCGGGUGUGCCCCGGUUGGAUGUGGAACGGCUUCGGCUGGUCUGCCGCUCAACGCGGGGCACUGGUCAGCGUGGGCUACUUCGGCGAGAGCAGGAUGUAGUUUCCUGCCCCCCAUGCCGCCGAGGUGGCCGAGGAACGAAGCGUGCGGCCCCCUCUCGGGGGGGUCGUGGGACUCGUCCCAACUGCACGCUCGGGACGCUGGCGUAUUGAGCUCUUCAUCCGACCCGUCUUGAAACACGG